rnacentral:misc_RNA from 1 species
GUAGGUGAACCUGCGGAAGGAUCAUUAAUAAAAACGUCCCAUAUAUUUUCUUUUUUACCAUUUCCCUCCCGCUCUUUUUUUCCAUCUCCUCUCCUUCGGUGGGGGGGGAGAGGGGGGAAUCGCAGUGGGUGUGGGUGGAGAGAUCAUCAGCUUUUGUUUGCCCCCGUUUUUGUUUGCGGGGGUUGGAGGCAGAUACACUUUUACCAGAUAACUUUUGGAAGUACAAGUACACAAAACAUAUAAAAAAACU